ACGGUAGUUGAUCUUAUUAUUGCAGUCGGAUGCUUUCAAAAAUAGUUCCAUAUUUGCAAACAAACUUUUCUGUCAUAACAAUAUUUUUUGUGCCUUCUAGGUUAAGUUUUAAUCAUUGUUUUAUUUAUAAGUAUAUGGAGGUCGUUUGACGUCGACGGCCGCUGAGCGUUCAUCAUUUUAAGCGAGCGUUUAAAUAUCCACUCGGAUGCAUAUUUUUGGCACCAAACCCGUAACCGUAAAUGCGACACAUCUGAGAUGACAUCACGGGCGGAUUGCGGCUAACUUGCGUACUUUUCGCAACGCGCUUAGCGGUACUUUCGCAGCCACCACCCCAAAUGCACAUAUAUACAUAUUCAUAUAAAAACAAAUAACCCACCGAAAAUUGAGCCGGCCGAUUGAGUUGGGUGCGCAGUUAUUUUGGGAAUUGCGCAAUUUGGGUUUCAAGUGCAAAAGCUGGCCGCUGAACCCACGACAUCAGCAGCAGCAACAACAACAACAACAGAAACACUUCCUGACACCUUGUCGUCAGCUACAUGCUUCGAAGGGCUCCGCUCUUUCUUGUUGCUAGGCUUCCGGCAUUGCUGAUGGCCAGCGGCGCACGUAGGCACCCAUUGAACGGCACCUACUGGCACCCUGUGGCGACACCACUCGGUGGCUCGUUGGAAGCCGGUUCACGCUCUAUGUGCCAUCAUAAUCGUCAUCGUUACCCCGUACGAUUGCCAUGCCUAACAGGUGUGCACAGCGUGGCUCGCACGCCCAGUUCUGGCCCCAGGUUUAAUAAACCGUCGAUUUGGGCACAUGCUCCGCAUUAAUUCGGCGAAUCGUUGCCGUCGCGCCUGCGCCGCAUGCUGAAUGAGCCAGGCAACGCGUGCGAGGUUCGCUUCUGACGUAGUUGCCGGUAGCCUAUUUGCCUAUUUAUGCAAGGGGCAUUUAACACCAGAAAGCCGGCUGGGUAAGAAUGGUCUAGUUUGAGUUAGACUUAGAAAAAUAUUGUCAUGGUUUAGUAAAUUAGUUUAAUUGAAUUUAAAUAUUUACGUCUUAUAAAUUGAAAAUCAAAACUUGUCUCCAGAUCUGAAAUGCCUUAGCUCUUCCUUAUUCAUGCAGUAAAGUAAUGUUGUAUGUAACCGAAAAAAACAAGGAGACUGAUUUAAAUAAAUAUACAUAUAUAAACCGCUAAAGCUGGAAAAAUAAAGAUUUAGAUCGAGAUAGGUUGAGUGAGUAAGAGAUACUGAUUUUUAGAUUUGGCACACAAUUUGUUAACAUAAGCUCGCAUAGCAAGUUCCCCGUUUUGGGUUGUACAGGUCUUUCUGGUGUUAAAAUGUAUUAUAAAUUUACGUGGUAUCUAGCAUACAAAUCGAAUCUUAAUUUCUACAAUUUGCGACAUUGUUAACACAAAUUUCCAUUGUUUCAUUUGGCAACAACUUCCUUCUACAGAAAUACAAUUGUGAUGUAGAUAUAGAAAAAACUACACGCAUUUCAAAUCACAAUUCCAUGGAAAUGUUGUUUUACACUUUGUAUUUUUUUUUUCAGAAUAAUGGGUAUGUUUUGCACCAACGCCAUCCGCAUUAAAAGCAAUAUAUUUUGUUUAUCUAGCACAUUGUUUGCUUUGUUGGUAAAUAUAUUUAUAUGAUAUCCUUGCUGCAGCUGCACAGCCGCGUAUCCUCCCCCUCACCACUCGGCGUGAUAACAUUUUAUAUUUUAUAGAGGAAGAAAAAAACUUGUUCUGCUUAUAAAAAGAGAGUGGUGCUGAGCUGUCUGGCGUAAUUUGAGAAAGUUCAUGAUCUCAACUGUGCCCAUCUGUUGUUGUCGGUCUCCGGCCUGCCAGAAGAUGCAGCUCUCCAGUGUAAUUGAUUCUUCCUGCCGUUUGUCAGGAAGCUGAAAAAAAUAAAAAAUAACUUGUCAGACAGA